GAUGAACGCUGGCGGCAUGCCUAAGACAUGCAAGUCGAACGAGAUGGCCCAGUGAAGGUUGAGUGCUUGCACGAGACUGAAUCUGGAUUCCCAUCUAGUGGCAGACGGGUGAGUAACACGUGGGUGACCUACCUUUUCGUUGGGGAUAACAGUUGGAAACGAUUGCUAAUACCGAAUAAAAUGUAAGAGUCAAUUUUACAUUGAAAGGAGCCUUUAAAGCUUCGCGAUUAGAUGGGCCUGCGGCGUAUUAACUAGUUGGUGAGGUAAUGGCUUACCAAGGUGACGAUGCGUAGCCGAACUGAGAGGUUGAUCGGCCACAUUGGGACUGAGACACGGCCCAAACUCCUACGGGAGACAGCAGUUAGGAAUAUUCGUCAAUGGAGGAAACUCUGAACGAGCAAUGCCGCGUGAGUGAUGAAGGUCUUAUAGAUUGUAAAACUCUGUUGUAUGGAAAAAACGGCUAGGUUAGGAAAUGAACUUAGUGUGAUGGUACCAUAC
rnacentral:rRNA from 1 species